GGAUUAGAUACCCUGGUAGUCCACGCUGUAAACGAUGAGUGCUAGCUUUGGGAAGCUUUAUGUUUUCUGGGGCGUAGCUAACGCGUUAAGCACUCCGCCUGAGUAGUACGACCGCAAGGUUAAAACUCAAAGGAAUUGACGGGGGCCCGUACAAGCGGUGGAGCAUGUGGUUUAAUUCGAUGAUAACCGACGAACCUUACCAGCUCUUGACAUAUGCACUGCAGAUACACGAGAGUGAUCUUCAUUUAGUUGGGUGUAUACAGGUGUUGCAUGGUUGUCGUCAGCUCGUGCCG
rnacentral:rRNA from 1 species